CUCCUCAAAUAUAACCUAUUUGUUUGAAAUCUUUUGUGCACCCGUUGCACCCAUAGUCUGCACCCGCGCUGCACCGAAAUAGUUGUGAAUACAAAAGGUAUGGGGUGCACUUGCACCAGCGGUUCCGGCAUCCCUGUCUCGUCCUUUCCUGUUUCCUAUGUCUUCAAUUUCUGUAAAACCUCUAUUAAUAUCUAAAUAUCCC